rnacentral:other from 1 species
AAAUAACUGCCUUGUUCGGGUAAAUAUAGCUGUUAUAAUCCUACACUUAUUUUCAGGGAAUCUGAUGCUCUGACUGAGGAUUGCAGACCUCCCGUUUCCGGUGGAGUGAACUCAGCCGGAUCCGGACGUUGGGAGCGAGAGACUUUCAGGCGGAUACCCACCUUGCGGAGACGCUAGGUUUUAUUUUCUAUAUGACGGCAAGGCGGUUUUUUA